rnacentral:rRNA from 1 species
GACGUAGGGCGCGAGCGUUGUCCGGAUUUAUUGGGCGUAAAGAGCUCGUAGGCGGCUUGUUGCGUCGGCUGUGAAAACCCGCGGCUUAACCGCGGGCCUGCAGCCGAUACGGGCAGGCUAGAGUUCGGUAGGGGGAGACUGGAAUUCCUGGUGUAGCGGUGAAAUGCGCAGAUAUCAGGAGGAACACCGAUGGCGAAGGCAGGUCUCUGGGCCACUACUGACGCUGAGAAGCGAAAGCAUGGGGGAGCGAACAGG